GGUUCUCCGCCGGCCUUUUCUGUUCUCUUCUCCAUCAGCGCUUCCAUUUGUGGACUUGUUUUUUCCGUUGGCUCUGUUCGCUGUGGCGUUGCCGCUAUUCUUCGCAUCCCCCUCCUCACGGCCGCUUUUCGCGUGCCUCUUCUCAAGUCACCUGCCGCGCGCGCUCUCUUCCCUUCGUCUCUGUCUCGUUGCCUUUCAGAAAGCAGGCGUCGAGAAGAGAACAUGUCGUCUCUAUCGGAAACGCUGUCAGAGCAGCUGAUGAGCCACCCGUUCCACCGUGCUCUGGAGCUUUUCUUUGCCGCCGCGCUGGCGUAUUUUCUGCUGCAACGCUUCCACCGUCGCGGGAAGGGGAAGCCACCAAAUCCGAUGAGCAGGCUGUCCCCUGAGGAGCAGGAACGUCGCAUUGCCGCCUUUCAGUCCAUUCCGUUCCGUGCCGAGUGCUCGGUGACGUCGAACGUGCCCGUGCCGGAGUACCACGGGCUGACCGAGGUGGUCGGACGCGAGGGGAGCCACAUCACCAUUCUGCGGCCCGGCUCAUCGGAGGCGGAGGAGUGUCUAGACCUUGCCACCUACGACUUUCACUCGUUCUCAACGCUGCCGGAGGUCGUUGAAGUGGCACGGGCGGCCGUGAACGCCUACGGCGUGGGCAGUUGCGGACCUCGCAGCUUUUACGGCACCAUCAAGCCGCAUCUUGUGGUGGAGCAGGACCUGGCCAAGUUUCUCAAGACAGACGAAGCGGUUGUGUACAGCUUCGCAUAUGCCACCGUGGCCACCCUCAUCUCCUGCUUUUCCGGCCGUGGCGACUAUCUCGUGUACGACGACGGCGUCAGCUCCUCCGUGAUGGAGGGCUGCAUCCUCUCUCGCUCUGACAUUCGGCCGUACAAGCACUGCAGCAUGACGAGUCUGGAGGAGCGGCUCCAGGAAGUGGUGGCGAAGGACGGGUACAGCAAGCCUCACCGCCGCUUCGUCGUAACGGAGGGCCUGUUCUCAGAUACCGGCGAGAUCUGCCCGCUGCCCCAGAUCUUGGAGCUGUGCCACAAGUACAAAUUCCGCCUCCUGCUGGAGGACAGCUACGGCUUUGGCGUACUGGGCGAGUCGGGGCGCGGCACUCCUGAGCAGUUCAACAUCCCGACGAUGGACGUGGACGUGUACAUUGGGAGCCUGAGUACGUCUAUGGGUGCGGUUGGCGGUUUCUGCGCUGGCGCGUCGAACAUGAUUGAUCAUCAGCGCCUCACCUCCACAGCGUACGUGUUCUCGGCAUCGUUGCCCCCCUACAUCACGGCGUCCGUCUCGCAGUCGCUCGCGGUGCUGGCGCGUGAUGACACGUUUGUGGCCAAGCUGCGGAGACACACGAAGCGCAUUCGCAGACACCUCCGUGAGGCCGGGUUCAACGCUGAGAAGAUCAAGCUGGUGGACAGCAUCGACGACGCCUCUCCGGUGAUUCUUCUUGCGGCGGAGCGGGAGUACGUCGAACGCGAGGGGCUGGAAAAGGUGGAGAACCGUCUCCAGCGCGUCAUCAAUGCCCUGCAGAAGAAGAAAGUGGCAGUCGUGCGAAACGUCUUCACAACAGAUGAGCCGGUGAACAACGUCUCGGGACUGCGUAUUGUGGCCAAGAGUCUGGCGACGGAGGCCGAGGUGACGGCGGCACUUGAGGCAAUCGAGACUGCCGUGAAGGCCGAGUUUUCGUAGGCGGCGAUGCAGCUGUAAUGCCGAGUGUGGUGUGUACCCAUAGCUUCGCUUGUGUGACUAACUGGAGGACGUGCACGGAGCUGACAACCACUUUCGUUUUUGUGCUAGGGCUGAUGUGGUGUAGGGUUCUGGGAACAAAAUGAGUUUUGCCCGCUCUGCUGUCUCCGAGCGUCCUGCACGUUGUGCUGCCCCGCGUGACUCUCGCGAUGGAGGACGACCUCUCCAGGAAGUCGCACAUCGGACUCCAGCAGCUCGUUUGCGUCGAUCUCUUUCAAUCGCUCUGAGCGUGUGUAGCCCGGCACUGGCCGCCGAAUCUGUGAAUGUGUAGUGCCCCCCCCCUUUCGUAAUAGAAAGUAGAGCGAACAAAUAAAGGGGGAACACAUGAAUGACGUGAGAGGGCUGGCAAGGCUUGAGGUGCUAAUACAUAAUGCGGCGUGCAGAGAGGCGCUGCGCAGAUGGGCGCCGUCACAGGUCAAGGGAAGGGAGAAGAGAUAUGCGACACAUGUGCUAGAAGCGAGUGUCGUUCUCUCUCCCUCCUUGUGUGUUACAGGCAUCCACGAGUGACGUCGAGAACAAGCGAAGCAUGCGCUGCGUUGGCGUGCCUACGCACUGCUGAUGCUGCGGAUGCGCAGCGCCCUCGGUACGAGACGAAAUAGGCUGUUUGACGGAAGUUGUCUUCUUUUUUUUUGAGGCUUUGCACCCGCGGCUGUUCUCUUUAUCGUUUUCCCCAUUGAUCUGCCCCACCUAGGAGCGGCCCCUCGAACCGUUGUCUCGCCCACUCCCUCCCCUUUCUCUCUCACUCACUCUCUCUGCGUUCCCCUGCUGUACCUUCGGCCUUCACGUCGGUGCGGUUCGCCGCCACACAUCCCCCUUUUUUAUUCCCUCUCCGUACCUGUCAUGUUGUCAGAGGCUGCCCCUGCGUUGUCGCGCCCCCAUGGCCGGGUGGUGGGUGAAGUGUGCACGUGUGAGAGUGAAGGUCAGGAACAAGG
rnacentral:misc_RNA from 1 species